rnacentral:tRNA from 1 species
AAAAUGGCAGAAGUUAUGCGUAGAUUUUAAGCGUCUAUUAAGAAUUAUAUUCUUUU